UACCAAGUACCAGUGGUUGCAAGAAGGUCAUGCCAGCAUCCCCUCCUUGUGAUCCAGGGUUUCUUGAUCUGGAUCUUUUAAGUGCCUUCAACCAGAUGUCCAGUGGGAAUGACUUUGCACCUGCUCAUGGUGGCUCCAGGGUCAAUGCUACUCCCAGACAUAGCAGCACACCACUCCAGGGAGAGGCCAGGCAGAAGCAGGGGAAGAAAGGGAGACAUCUCUUGUAGUUUUGAAUCCUCUCUCUUCCUCAAGUCAAUGUCAGGAGUCAACAGAUGUGUAGAACACAGGAAGCAUGAUACAGUGUGGCACGGCACAUUUUGGUCACUAGGACAUGAGAGGAGGCGAUGAGCAUUUUCAGAAGAGUUUGUGUUCUGGAAGCUGAGAUUCUGCCAGGCUAGGAGAUCCCAGUGCCUGUCAGUGUGCAGGUGACUGCUGACAGAAGUUAAAUGGGUAACAACAGAAUAAAUGUUCUGCGUGUUAGG